rnacentral:rRNA from 1 species
GUGCCGAGAGGUGAAAAGGGUUUCCGCCUGAAGAAGAGCUCGCGUCCGAUUAGUUAGUUGGUGAGGUAAGAGCUCACCAAGGCAGCGAUCGGUAGCUGGUCUGAGAGGAUGAGCAGCCACACUGGGACUGAGACACGGCCCAGACUCCUACGGGAGGCAGCAGUGGGGAAUUUUCCGCAAUGGGCGAAAGCCUGACGGAGCAACGCCGCGUGUGGGAAGAAGGCUCUUGGGCUGUCAACCACUUUUCUCAGGGAAGAAGAUCUGACGGUACCUGAGGAAUCAGCCUCGGCUAACUCCGUGCCAGCAGCCGCGGUAAUACGGAGGAGGCAAGCGUUAUCCGGAAUUAUUGGGCGUAAAGCGUCCGCAGGGGGCGCAUCAAGUCUGCUGUUAAAGGUCGGAGCUUAACUCCGGUAGAGCAGUGGAAACUGGUGCGCUAGAGGGCGACAGGGGUAGAGGGAAUUCCCAGUGUAGCGGUGAAAUGCGUAGAGAUUGGGAAGAACACCGGUGGCGAAAGCGCUCUACUGGGUCGCACCUGACCCUCAGGGACGAAAGCUAAGGUAGCGAAUGGGAUUA